rnacentral:rRNA from 1 species
UGGGGAAUUUUGGACAAUGGGCGAAAGCCUGAUCCAGCAAUGCCGCGUGUGUGAAGAAGGCCUUCGGGUUGUAAAGCACUUUUGUCCGGAAAGAAAUCCUUGGCUCUAAUACAGUCGGGGGAUGACGGUACCGGAAGAAUAAGCACCGGCUAACUACGUGCCAGCAGCCGCGGUAAUACGCAGGGUGCAAGCGUUAAUCGGAAUUACUGGGCGUAAAGCGUGCGCAGGCGGUUUGCUAAGACCGAUGUGAAAUCCCCGGGCUCAACCUGGGAACUGCAUUGGUGACUGGCAGGCUAGAGUAUGGCAGAGGGGGGUAGAAUUCCACGUGUAGCAGUGAAAUGCGUAGAGAUGUGGAGGAAUACCGAUGGCGAAGGCAGCCCCCUGGGCCAAUACUGACGCUCAUGCACGAAAGCGUGGGGAGCAAACAGGAUUAGAUACCCUGGUAGUCCACGCCCUAAAACGAUGUCAACUAGUUGUUGGGGAUCCAUUUCCUUAGUAACGUAGCUAACGCGUGAAGUUGACCGCCUGGGGAGUACGGUCGCAAGAUUAAAACUUAAAUGAAUUGACGGGGUCAUAGCUGUUUCCU